rnacentral:rRNA from 1 species
UGCCAGCAGCCGCGGUAAUACGUGUGGGGCAAGCGUUGUUCGGAAUUACUGGGCUUAAAGGGUGCGUAGGCGGUUUAUCAAGUCAGAUGUGAAAUGCCUGGGCUCAACCUCGGAACUGCAUUUGAAACUGGAAGUCUGGAGUUCAGGAGAGGUUAGCGGAAUACCGAGUGUAGAGGUGAAAUUCGUAGAUAUUCGGAGGAACACCAGUGGCGAAGGCGGCUCACUGGCUCGAUACUGACGCUGAGGUGCGAAAGCGUGGGGAGCAAACAGGAUUAGAUA